GGAGGAUUGAGGAAAACACCAUACAAUCAAGCAGCAUCAGACACCAGGAGGAUCCUGUGCCUACCUUGCCUUUUGUGAACUGUGCCUUUAAGAGAUGCAGUAGUGUCCCACUCCAGGAAGUGCAUCUGGCCAGGUGUGGUAUAUGCAGAGUGCUCUCCGGCAAUCCCAGAGACUCCUUCCCUCCAACCUGUAUCUGACACAGUUCUCUUCUGAUACCCUCCCCAAGGAGCUCUGAAAACUAAUGGAAGAAGUCUCAAACCAUGUCAAGUCGUCCGGCC